CCCUUAGAUGUUCUGGGCCGCACGCGCGCUACACUGGUGCGUUCAACAAGUUUACAACCUUGAUUGACAAGUCUGGGUAAUCUUUUGAAUGCGCACCGUGCUAGGGAUAGAUUAUUGCAAUUAUUAAUCUUGAACGAGGAAUUCCUAGUAAACGCAAGUCAUCAGCUUGCAUUGAUUACGUCCCUGCCCUUUGUACACACCGCCCGUCGCACCUACCGAUUGAAUGGUCCGGUGAAAUCUCGGGACGGCGGCUUGGUCGCUUGCGUCCGACUGCUGAAACUUGAUUAAACCAUAUCAUUUAGAGGAAGGUGAANUCGUANCA
rnacentral:rRNA from 1 species